CUACGUCUCCCAUGGGAAUCUACCAGUGCUGCCAGUUCUAGUUGGCAGAACGGAAAACGAAAACACUUCCAGGCUGCACUGAUACAAUAAAAUCUCCCAGGAAGCCUAUAAAGAAGUGCCUGUUGAAGAACUGGAACUGUUCAGAGGACUAAAAAUUGGUCCAUGAAUAUUAUUCGGCGAGGCCUCCCCGUCUCGGUUCUCRCUGGAAGCUGCUGGAGGAGCCUCCGCAGCGCCGGGUGUGAAGCGGCCUUUGCUGCAGCUGCAGGAAGGGCAGCAGGACCUGCCCUCACCACUGACAUGGAGUUUGGAGAGACUG